rnacentral:lncRNA from 1 species
ACUCUUGUUCCCAUAUUUUUCUUCUCCUUCCUUUCUUCUCCCCUUUCAACUCCCCUUGUUCCCCCUCAUUUCAUUUUCUUUCCCAUGUUUCACUCAUUGCCCCUUUUUCCUCCCAUGUAUCUAGACAAGCAAAAUGUUUGGUUUCUCCUUCCUUUUACUCUAUUUUCUCAUCUUUUUUUCUCCUCUUCCAAUACCCACCACUUUUUCACAUUUUAGCCACUUUAUCACCACCUUCAAUAACCUUUGCAACACCAAAUCACCACCACUACACCACCGUCCCUCACCUUUCAUCCUUUUCUUGACAGCA